UCGUGUACCGCGCCUUCCCUGC
rnacentral:misc_RNA from 1 species